rnacentral:lncRNA from 1 species
UGAAGAAAGCUUGGGAAUAUGUUCAGGACUGCAUGCCCAUGCGGCUGAAAGCUAUCCACGUACUGAACCAGUCGUAUACAUUUGACGUACUUUAUACGCUAGUAAGGCCCAUCAUGAAAACCAAGCUUGCUGAGAGGUUUCAACUCUAUGGCGAGAGCUAUGACAGACUGCACGAAGAAAUUCCGUCCAGUGUGCUGCCAGAAGAAUAUGGAGGUCAAGGACCCCCACUGGAUUACGAGGCCUUUUGGAGGCGCGUAGACGCCGAAGAAGAGCUUUUCGCUGCCAACAAUCAGUUCGGCUACACCAGACCGACAGGCGAGGACGACUUUCCCACAGACGAAGAAAUAUUGGAGGAACUAACUUUUAUGUAAUC